rnacentral:rRNA from 1 species
UAGGGAAUCUUCCACAAUGGGCGCAAGCCUGAUGGAGCAACACCGCGUGAGUGAAGAAGGGUUUCGGCUCGUAAAGCUCUGUUGUUAAAGAAGAACACGUAUGAGAGUAACUGUUCAUACGUUGACGGUAUUUAACCAGAAAGUCACGGCUAACUACGUGCCAGCAGCCGCGGUAAUACGUAGGUGGCAAGCGUUAUCCGGAUUUAUUGGGCGUAAAGAGAGUGCAGGCGGUUUUCUAAGUCUGAUGUGAAAGCCUUCGGCUUAACCGGAGAAGUGCAUCAGAAACUGGAUAACUUGAGUGCAGAAGAGGGUAGUGGAACUCCAUGUGUAGCGGUGGAAUGCGUAGAUAUAUGGAAGAACACCAGUGGCGAAGGCGGCUACCUGGUCUGCAACUGACGCUGAGACUCGAAAGCAUGGGUAGCGAACAGGAUUAGAUACCCUGGUAGUCCAUGCCGUAAACGAUGAGUGCUAGGUGUUGGAGGGUUUCCGCCCUUCAGUGCCGGAGCUAACACAUUAAGCACUCCGCCUGGGGAGUACGACCGCAAGGUUGAAAC